UACAGAGGUGGCAAGCGUUGUUCGGAAUUACUGGGCGUAAAGGGCGCGUAGGCGGCCUACUAAGUCAGACGUGAAAUCCCCCGGCUUAACCUGGGAACUGCGUCUGAUACUGGAAGGCUUGAGGAUGUGAGAGGGAUGUAGAAUUCCAGGUGUAGCGGUGAAAUGCGUAGAUAUCUGGAGGAAUACCGGUGGCGAAGGCGGCAUCCUGGACCAAUAUUGACGCUGAGGAGCGAAAGCCAGGGGAGCAAACGGG
rnacentral:rRNA from 1 species